GGGUUGUGAGGUUAAGCGACUAAGCGUACACGGUGGAUGCCCUGGCAGUCAGAGGCGAUGAAGGGCGUGCUAAUCUGCGAUAAGCGCCGGUAAGGUGAUAUGAACCGUUAUAACCGGCGAUACCCGAAUGGGGAAACCCA
rnacentral:rRNA from 4 species